CAGCGGUCUCAUUCGGUAUAGCGAGCUGGUGAAGAGCAGGCGGACAGGCCUCGGGACGGGACGUCUACGCAGAAGCAACUCCCUGGCUCACCCCGAAGUGAUCACCCCUUCCGGGAACGAAAUCCUGCCACACCCAGAGCCUGCUUGGAGCAGAGACUUGAAGCACACACUGCUCCCAAUGGGACGGCUGUAAAGCCUGUAACCGUUUAAAAUGUACAGUUCCGUGUCCUGGGUAUAUGACAUCAUUCAUUUUCAAA